UGCAAAUAACAAGCUGAAGUAUCAGUCUUUCUUCUCUUUAUUUUUCCUUUGCACAGAGAGAAGGGGCAAAGAAGGAAGGGAUUUCUGCUACUCGAAGCAUAGAUGUCACACACCUAUAGGUUCAGUAGCUUUCUUCAGCCACGCCUUCUCAGAUUCAUCCAAAUAUGGAGCCAGAACGUCCCUACAUCUUGAAUGAUAGGUGUUCAGCCAAUCAAUCUCAUCGGGCAUUAGGAGGCUCACAUCAAUUAACUUUGUCUGAUACGGUGCCCAUGUUAUGUGCUCAAAUGAUAA
rnacentral:misc_RNA from 1 species